rnacentral:tmRNA from 1 species
GGGGGUGUAAUGGCUUCGACGGAGAUUACGAAGCGUUUGGUUGCAUAUCGAGCUUCUGCUGACUCGUAAAACUGGCGGAAAAAAAAGUAAUCGCAGACGAUUAUAAUUACGCUGUAGCUGCUUAAGGCGGCUUCCGUCCUGCCGGGAUUCUUCCUGCAGAUUCUGGUAAAGGGCGUCGACUAUGUGGGACAGCCGUAAAAGGGAUGCCUGAGCCCUUUUAGGUUAAAUUAUUCAGGCUACACUGGUCCGUAUCCAUCCCGGAGGAGACUAUCCAGUAAAAUUCAAAUUUCGGGAUAAGUAUGUAGAUGCCAUCGUUGACUGUUUUCGGACCCGGGUUCAAUUCCCGGCACCUCCACCA